rnacentral:rRNA from 1 species
AGUGAACGCUGGCGGUGGGCCUAACACAUGCAAGUCGAGCGGCAACACAGUAAGAUUGUGCUCUUACGGUUGGCGACUGGCGGACGGGUAACGCAUACAUCAGAAUCUACUUUUUCUUGGAGAAUAACGGAGGGAAACUGACGCUACUACAUAAUACAACCUACGGCUUAAAGCAGUAGUUCUUCGCAGCUUUCGCGUCUCAAUUAGCCGAUGUCGGAUUAGCUAGUUGGCUUGGUAAAGGCCCACCAAGGCGACGAUCCGUAGCUGGGCUGAGAGGAUGAUCAGCCACACUGGAACUGAGACACGGUCCAGACUCCUACGGGAGGCAGCAGUAGGGAAUAUUGGGCAAUGGGCGAAAGCCUGACGGAGCCAUGCCGCGUGAGUGAAGAAGGUCUUCGGGUUGUAAAGCCCUUUUAUUAGGAAAGAACAAAAGUAGGUUAAUCCACGGAUGUCCUGACGGUACCUAAACAGUAAGCCCCGGCUAACUUCGUG